rnacentral:rRNA from 1 species
AUUGAACGCUGGCGGAAUGCUUUACACAUGCAAGUCGAACGGUAGAGGGGGCAACCCCUUGAGAGUGGCGAACGGGUGAGUAAUAUAUCGGAACGUGCCCAGUCGUGGGGAUAACGUAGCAAAAGUUACGCUAAUACCGCAUACGAUCUAAGGAUGAAAGCGGGGGACUCGCAAGAGCCUCGCGCGAUUGGAGCGGCCGAUAUCAGAUUAGGUAGUUGGUGAGGUAAAGGCUCACCAAGCCGACGAUCUGUAGCUGGUCUGAGAGGACGACCAGCCACACUGGGACUGAGACACGGCCCAGACUCCUACGGGAGGCAGCAGUGGGGAAUUUUGGACAAUGGGCGCAAGCCUGAUCCAGCAAUGCCGCGUGCAGGAUGAAGGCCUUC